rnacentral:rRNA from 1 species
UUAAGUAAUUAAGCGCACAUGAUGGAUGCCUAGGCAGCCAUAAACUAUGAAAGACGUUAUAGCCUGCGAUAAGCGUCGGGUAAAUGGCAUAUAAUUUAUGAUCCGAUGAUUUCUGAAUGGGGAAACCUAUCGAUUUUUAUCGAUGUUUACAAAUAAAAACAUAGUUUGUAUUCGAUAACCGAGAAAACUGAAACAUCUAAGUAUCUCGAGGAAAAUAUAUCAAAAGAUAUUCCCUUAGUAGUGGCGAGCGAAUUGGGAAAAGUCCUAAAAAUAAUAUAUUAUUUUUAAUAUUAAUUAAUUUUGAUAAAUUAAUUGGUUUGAAUACCAAACCAUAGAAGGUGAUAGUCCUGUAAUUAAAAUCAAUUUAUUAUUAAAUUGAGUAUAUUGGGACACGUGUAAUCCUGAUAGAAUAUGGGGGGACCAUCCUCCAAGACUAAAUACUUAUGGUUGACCGAUAGUGAACUAGUACCGUGAGGGAAAGGUGAAAAGUACCCCUGUUAGGGCAGUGAAAUAGAUUCUGAAAUCAUGUGCGUACAAGCAGUAGUAGCAAUAUAAUUAAAUAAUAUAAAUUUUUUAUGUGACUGCGUACCUUUUGUAUAAUGGGUCAGCGACUUAUUUUCGGUAGCUAGCUUAACUAUAUAAGGUAGGCAUAGGGAAACCGAGUCUAAAAUGGGCAAUAAAGUUUCCGAAAAUAGACCCGAAACCGGGCGAUCUAUCCAUGAGUAGGUUGAAAGUUAAGUAAUAUUAACUGAAGGACCGAACCGGGAUCUGUUGAAAAAGAUCCGGAUGACUUGUGGAUAGGAGUGAAAGGCUAAUCAAGCUCGGAGAUAGCUGGUUCUCCUCGAAAGCUAUUUAGGUAGCGCCUCACAUAUCUUCGUUGGGGGUAUAGCACUGUUUCGAAUAAGGGGUCAUACCGGCUUACUAAAUCGAUGCAAACUUAAAAUACCAGCGAUUGCAAUGUGGGAGACACACUAUGGGUGCUAACAUCCUUAGUGGAAAGGGAAAAAACCCAGAUCGUCAGCUAAGGUCCCUAAAUUAUGGUUAAGUGGAAAACGAUGUAAGAAGGCAAAAACAGCUAGGAGGUUAGCUUAGAAGCAGCUAUCCUUUAAAGAAAGCGUAACAGCUCACUAGUCUAGUCAUCUUGCGCGGAAGAUAUAACGGGGCUUAAAUCAUAUACCGAAGCUACGAGUUUAAUAAUAAAAUUUUUACUAUUUAUAUUUUUAUUAUUAAGCGGUAGAGGAGCGUUGUGUAAAUUUUAGAAGGUUUAUUGUAAAGUAAACUGGAGAUAUCACAAGUGCGAAUGCUGACAU